rnacentral:rRNA from 1 species
UAAGCGGAGGAAAAGAAACCAACAGGGAUUGCCCCAGUAACGGCGAGUGAAGCGGCAACAGCUCAAAUUUGAAAUCUGGCCCCUCCCCCGGGGGGGGCCCGAGUUGUAAUUUGCAGAGGAUGCUUCUGGCGAGGUGCCUUCCGAGUUCCCUGGAACGGGACGCCGCAGAGGGUGAGAGCCCCGUCUGGUCGGACACCGAGCCUCUGUGAAGCUCCUUCGACGAGUCGAGUAGUUUGGGAAUGCUGCUCUAAAUGGGAGGUAUAUGUCUUCUAAAGCUAAAUACCGGCCAGAGACCGAUAGCGCACAAGUAGAGUGAUCGAAAGAUGAAAAGCACUUUGAAAAGAGGGUUAAACAGUACGUGAAAUUGUUGAAAGGGAAGCGCUCACGACCAGACCUGGUCCCGGCGAAUCACCCGGCGUUCUCGCCGGUGCACUUCGACGGGCUUCCAGGCCAGCAUCAGUCCGCGCCGGGGGACAAAGGCGGCGGGAACGUGGCUCCCCAGGGAGUGUUAUAGCCCGCCGCGCAAUGCCCCGGGGGCGGACUGAGGACCGCGCGUCACCGCAAGGAUGCUGGCGUAAUGGUCGUCAGCGACCCGUCUUGAAACACGGACCAAGGAGUCGUCCUCGUAUGCGAGUGUUGGGGCGUCAAACCCCCCGCGCGUAAUGAAAGUGAACGGCAGGUGAGAGCCCUCGCGGGCGCAUCAUCGACCGAUCCUGAUGUUCUCGGAUGGAUUUGAGUAGGAGCAUACGGGGCCGGACCCGAAAGAAGGUGAACUAUGCCUGUGUAGGGUGAAGCCAGAGGAAACUCUGGUGGAGGCUCGCAGCGGUUCUGACGUGCAAAUCGAUCGUCAAACAUGGGCAUGGGGGCGAAAGACUAAUCGAACCUU